CAUCAGCGUAUAUUAAAGUUGUUGCAGUUAAAAAGCUCGUAGUAGAAUUUUGUCUGAGGGCUGGCUGGUCCGCCGAAAGGUGAGCACUGGGCAGGCUCGGACGGACGCCCAGACGGUGUGUGUGGCCUUGAUUGGCUGUGGACAUUGGUGUGGGCCAUUUACUGUGAGGAAAUUAAAGUGUUCAAAGCAGGCUUUGGCUUGAAUACGUUAGCAUGGAAUAAUGGAAUAGGAAUUUGGGCCUAUUUUGUUGGUGCGUGGGCCACGAAUUAAUGAUGAAUAGGGACAGGCGGGGGCUUAGGUAUUCACAAGUUAGUGGUGAAAUACUUUGAUCUUGUGAAGACCGACUGCUGCGAAAGCGUCUGCCAAGGAUGUUUUCUUCUA
rnacentral:rRNA from 1 species